GACAGCAUUUGUUGACAGUUCCUAAAACUUGUUUAGAACGUUAUAACCGGAGUAUUCGGUGAAUCUCCUAGAAUAGAAAUUGAAUUUAAUUCUUUUUGAUUAUAUUUUAACUCAUAUGAAUUUGUUUAUAUAUAUAUAUAUUUUUUUUUUUUUUCCCUUGGAGGAUGAAUGUGAAUGUCAGAAGAACUAAAUUGAGCAUAAUGGGCGCUCCACAGCAGCUGAAAGUCCUUGGGUGAAGGACUCCAACUGCUGGCUUGUGUUGUGGUCUGGCAGCUGUGAGCCAAGUGUAGUGAGAGCCUUGGGUAAUGAGAGAGGUUGAUGAAUAUAGGAUACUUUGAGAAAGGUUUGGCUUUUUUUCUUUCUUCUCCUCCUCCUCCUUCCCUCAUAACAGCACAGCAAUUCUGAAAACAUACAAAUGCAUUUUGAAUGUUCAGCUCUGGUUGUCAGAUUUAUUAUUCUUUUCAGUUACUGCAGAUGGAAAAUUCUUUUUAAUCUUACUUUUAAUGUUUUUUACAUUUGUUUAUAAAUUUCUUAAUUUUAAGAACAUCUGUAUUUUGUUUUCUCUAGUAUUAUUGAAGUUGUCACAUGCAUCAAAUGGGCUUUCAAAAUAUCAUUAUGUGCAGGAGUGCCACCAGAUUAGAGAUGAUUAUGAUCAUGAACUACUUAUACAUUUACUUCAAAGUUUUAUGCCCUUUUGUAAGCCGGAAGCCUUUCUGUAGCCUCAUGGAAAUUUCUGUUCCUGGCUCCUCCAAACCUCAGCAAUGAAACAUGUUUUAAUUUAUAAAGGAACUUAACAUUCCUCUAUAGUGGUGGAGGUGGCUAUGCAAACCUCACAGCUUAACACGGAGCAUGAGGGGAAAUGAAAAGCCUAACAGUCAUUAAGUAAAAGAAGAGCUCUUUACAGCUAUCCCUUAACUGCAGACAGCAGUGGUGUCAGCCAGCAGGCCUCCACAAAAGGUGAAGUUAUAAACACCACUUCUGAGGGCACAGCGACCUGGCCUUUCUGAAGUAACUGUAAAUGUAACAUCUCCUUUAAGUGACAACCUGAAACAAUAAUAGCAUUUAGGGGAACAAUGGCCUGUUAAGAGCAAGUGAUGCUGGAACAUGGGGAGCGUUGGCUGUCCUUGACUUUAGGACAGCCUGGGAGCCAGUGAGGAAGCACAGAUGGAGCCAGUCUGCAUAGGCCUCUUCACAGUCACUUUUUUUUUUUUUCCAAACAGCAGGAAAAUAUUGAACAGUGCCAAAGUCUGAAUGAGUCACUCCGCAUACAACAGGAAAAAUCUUAGAGCACUGAAGACCACCUUAGAUGUGAGUUCAAAAGCAAGAUGUAUACACAUCUUGCAUGUAUCAUUGAUCUUCUUCCUUUAAAUCCCCACCAUGAAUUUUCCAGGAAAAUGUGACAAAACAAAGAGAAAUUUCUCUGAUUUAUGUUGUAUUCUAGAAUGGUAGAAGAAUAUGUUGGAAAAUAACCAGGGUGAUGUUUAAAAAAACCUAAAUGGGGGCAUCUCAGAAAAGUUGAUUUAGAGCCCUAUCAGGCUCCUCAGUGGCAAAUGUCCAAAAGGCCUCAGAGAGAGAAGGAUUCAGCAUGGAGAAAAACAGACUGUGAACAUAUUUUUUAGCUUAGUUUACCCCUCCCUCCUUUUAAAUGAUCGAAAAUGUAAACCACAUUUAAUGCAUAAGGGUUCUUGCAGGUAAUAUGGAAAGCAUGAAGUGUUGCUGCAACUAAAUAUUUCUGCUUUGACAAUACCAGAAGCUAAAAUAACUACAAAAAAGAAAAGUACGAUUACUAUGAAGGAUGGGUUUCAUCUACUAGAAAUAAACAAGAAAGCUCAUAUCCUCAAUUAGAGGAAAGGCUUGGAAAAAAAAAUUGCUAUGGCAGAACAGUAUGAAAGGCAAGUAAAACUGAGGUUAAAAGCAAAGACCAUCUGCAAGAAUGGCAAGUAAAGACCUGGAGAUUUCUUUGGGUCAACAAAACCUUUGACAUCAAAGGAGAUGUUCUGAUUGAUUUCAGUGACUUUGAAUUAGGGCUUUUAAUUGGAUUGAAAUUAUUAUGCCAGAAAUCUGUAUCAGCAAAGGGCUAAAACUAGAUUUUUCAAAGCUGGUAGGCUAGUAUGUGUGAGGAAGUCAUGGUGAAUCAACAAAUUGGGAGAUGGCUGUAUUUAUUCUGCAUGUUGGAUCAUAUUUCAUAUUUUGGUCUGUAGACUGUUUAGUUACACCUUUGUAGUCUCUUAGCAUCAACUGAAAAGAUAUUCAUCAUUCAUAGUAGUUGGGCAAAAAUUGAAUUCCAUCUGUUUCUUCCAUAAUAAGUAACUGGAAUGAAGGUUUUAACAGAGAACUCCUUGGUAAACACCA